ensembl:lncRNA
CAGCGGUCAUGGAGAGUCUCCAUCCAGCUGGAUCACUGUCACAGGGAAACCUACAAACACAUCUCCAUCUACUCCCACACCUGUAUCUACAUCCACUUCUAUCCCUACAUCAGCCCCUGCCCCGCAUCUUGUUCUUCCUGUGUUAAUCUCUGUUGGGUCAGUCUGUGUUGUUGGUUCUACUGGUGUUACUGGUUCUGCUGGUGAGAAAACAUAUCACAGAAAAACCUGAAGAUCAAGACAAAGCCGCAGGAGAAGAUGUCACAUACAGUGACGUCAAGAUAUCACAUGGUCGACAGCAGCCUGUGAAACACAGCAGAGAGAGUGAUUCUGCUACAGUCUACUCUGAAACGAGAAUUGAAGACGUCAGUUAUGGAGAAAUCGUCAUCAAAGACAAGAAGAAAAAGUCAAAGACAAAAGCAGCAACUUCCUCGUGUAGCCUGAGGCCAGCUGCAGUGCAGUCUGCUUUGGGUUGGCUAACAGCGGAGUGUUGCAAUAAGAUGUUUGCUUCAUGCGCUGUGGGGAAAGUGUGGCAGUUUGCAGUAAAAGAGCACGGCGGUUUUGUGGAUGUCACCUUUGUUUUUCUCAUAAACACCUCACGCUUCUAUCCAGUCACUCAUUGGCUUACAGCAGAGGUGUGAAGGGGAGAAGAGAUGUGAAAACCCCUUUGGAGUUUAAAAAAUACUCAUCGCUUGUAUCACUUGUAUUCUUCAUGAUGCAACAUAACAAAUAAAGUGUUUUGUAGUAGCUGUGGUGUUGCAGUUGUUGUACCUGCAGUAAUUUAAAUGUGUUUUAUUUUACAGAGAGUGACAGCAUGGCGGUCUACUCCUCAGUGAAAACUAAAGACCUCAGUUAUGAACAAGUAGCCAUCAGCCCAAAGAGAACCAGAGACUUUAAACCAGAGUCAGAGGUCGUCUACUCUUCACUGAAGUAGUCCACCAGUCCAACCACAGAUGUCCAGCUGCUGGUCUCUAACUGGUUCCCCCAGCACCUCAGACCAGAGAACAUCCACAUGUUACAGAUUUUAUUAAAUAUAUUUUAUGUCUUAAUCUCCUGUUGUUGGACCUGUGAUUCAUAAUUUGCAUUUUGAUGCAAAAUCAGCAAUGUGAAAUAUUUAUAUAAAUAAUGUAAAAUAGGGAUAUUUGUAUGUAACAUUAAAAAGUUCCAGAUGUUUUGUGGUAUUUAUUUACAUUUGUCCUGCUCCUGUUCCCACGCAGCAUGGGGUCGGGGGUAUCUCUGUGGCAUUGAUUAAAUUUUGCUCUCUCAUGCUCCCCGUGUGGUUCUGUGGGUUUCAAACACGGGGGGAGAUGGAAAACUUGAUUUGCUCCACUUUUGUUGUGGCUUACCAAUACAAGCCUGGCUUCAGUGCAGAAAACAAAACAAAAAGAUGUAUAUUAAACCACAGCCACAGACUCAAAGCAGCAGGCACUGCAAACUGCACAGAGCAGCGUCAGCAUGCUUGAUGGAGGAAGAGGUUUACUGCUGUAGGCAUCCAGAAAC